rnacentral:rRNA from 1 species
AAUCAACGCUGGCGGCGUGCCUCAGACAUGCAAGUCGAACGCGAAAGUUCCCUUCGGGGAAUAAGUAGAGUGGCGCACGGGUGAGUAACACGUAGGUAAUCUACCUUCGGGUGGGGAAUAACCCAGGGAAACUUGGGCUAACACCGCAUGAUGCAGCGGCACCACAUGGUGACAGUUGUUAAAGCGGGGGAUUUUCGGACCUCGCGCCUGAAGAGGAGCCUGCGGCGGAUUAGCUAGUUGGUAAGGUAACGGCUUACCAAGGCGACGAUCCGUAGCCGGCCUGAGAGGGCGGUCGGCCACACUGACACUGACAUACGGGUCAGACUCCUACGGGAGGCAGCAGUCGGGAAUUUUGGGCAAUGGGCGAAAGCCUGACCCAGCAACGCCGCCGUGAAGGA